CAAAAUUCAAAUUAACUAUGGUCAAGAUUUUCCAAUCUGCUUUACAGAAAGAAAUCUUUCCCUUUUUCAACAAAAGAUCUCUUUUUUCCUUUCUCCCAAAAUUUCUCCCUCCCACGUGAAUUGCCAUUUUUAUUCCAACUUUCUCUUUCCUUUUUUAUGAUCUUGCUCUCUUUCCCAAUAGACAGAGAGUGCACUCAAUUUUUUCUUACUAUUUAGUAUUUGCCAUAGCAGAAAUUUGGUUAUUGCUUUAUUUAUUUUAAUCUAGUCUGCUUUUGUUCGAGAGGGAGGAGUAAAGUCGAGAUUGAAGUUCGAUAGUGCAUUAAGACACGCCUCAGUUCGCUGCCCUGCAAAAGGUCCGUAUCUUCUCCUCUCGCUCUCGUCUUGAUUCUAAUUACAGUACGUUCCAUGCCCGGUGCGUGUUUGCUUCGAGGUUGUUAGUUCUUAUUAAGCUUUUAUCUUUGAUGCUAUAAAAAUGGCUCUAAUUUGUGUUUGUUUAAGGGAAUGAUUCUAUGACUAAAGUUGUUAGCAAUAAUUCUUAACGAGAUUAUGUUCUGGUGUGUAUUGUUAGAAGCAUGCCUCACUAGUAUUUGAUAAAAUGUUCACAUGAAAAUAUCCAUUUCCUUUUGCAUACUUCUCUGUUAGAUGCUAUGAUUUUAAGAAGGAUUUUAUAAUGAGUUAGUUGUCUUGCAAAAUAUUUAUUUGCCAUUGUAAGUUAGGACCUUGAUGGAAAGGAAGUGAUAUGUGUAUCUAAUAUGUUAACCUGGAUGUAUUGAAAUUGUGUCCCCCCAUGGUUUAAGGUACGAGAACAAAAAAAGUAGCAAUGAAUACAUAUUCUGUUAUUGGUAUCAAUUUUAAAGAAUCAAUAGUUCACUGCUCUAAUUCUUUAUCUUUAUUUCUUUCGAGCAAAUGGAAUCUUAAUUCGAGAAUCUCGCAGUGGAGUCUCAUAGAGACUUAAUGCUACCACCGCCACAUGGAGUCGUUGCAUACCAUCUUCCUUAUCGGAUAGCGAGAAAAACAAGCUAAACAUUUGGGGACGUCUACGGCGCCUCUCAUUUCUUUUUUCCUUAUCAUUCAUGAUAUUUGACUUUUACUUGUGUGAUUUGAGUUUAUCUUCAAUUUCUGGGAUUACAUGUUAAAAUUUGUGUUAGCAUAGUAUGUUUCGUUAAUUAUCAAUUUGGUACAAUUUUAAUCACAUAAAAAUACAGCAUUUAUAUAUAAGAAUAUAAAAUCAGUUUCACUUAAAUUGAUGCUUUCAAAAACUUCUCGUCAAGCCAGUUUCUAACGACAUUAAGUUUUGACUUUUAUAAAUCUAGCCGAGAACGGUAAAUACACAUGUAAACCAUUCUUUUAAGUCUUAAUCUAUCUUUAAGAUUUUCCAUAAAGUUCGAGAUUGUUUUCCUUGAAUUUAAGAUUAACCAGUUGAUAUACAUUUUCAUCCAAAUCGAGCUUAAAGUCUCAUUAGAACUUUGUGUCCAUUUCUUUAGUUUAGACGAGUUCUUCUGUAAUUAAUCAUCUGAGAUCUAGCAAGUUUCUGGGUUUAAAUCUGAACAUUUUGAUAAAUUAUUGUUUAAUCAAAAAAUAUAUUCUUGAGCUUCUUGUUAGUUAAGUUGAAAGAUUUUCUCUUAAGCGUGUGUUAGACAGAACAAUUUGAAGGAUACUCACUAUUUUGAAAGCCUUUUUAAGCCAAUGUAACAAAUAUUUUAACCUAUGUAUAUAUGUAUCUGAAUCGUUUUUAUAUAAUCUUAGCUAUCAAUUAACUUAAGUUUGACCGGUUAACCGUAGUUAACGGAUCAUAUAGGGUGCCUUAAUAAUCUUCCCUAUAAGAUUAAUUAGAACCCUUACCUAUACUCUUAAGUUAAGCAGACUAUAAAACAGAGUUAACUUUAACUAUUAUUUUGUAAAUAGGUGUCCUAAUCCAUCUUUAAAUUAAUUAGGUGGCGACUCUCUUAAUUAAUUAAACCUCAGAAUUACCAAUAUGUUAUACUCUAAUUUGACUCGUGUUAAAAUGGGGUAUAACAACUCUCAUACCACCCAUAAAGCAUAGCAUAACCUUUAUUGAAAUUUCCUUUACUUGAGUCAUCCUCGGUCUCAAUCUCCGUAAGUCAUAACUGAUUCAUCUGCACGCCUCAAACUACAACCAACAUAGCGCAUAACCGUGCAGCCAACUAAUCAGUAGCAGGCUCCCCCACUUGGCUCGAAGCCAUAGAUUAAAACACACAAUACUCAUAACGCAUAUACGCUAUUACUGUUAUAAUAACAUAGUGAGAUUAAACUCAAUCCUUCAUAAGCUCGUGAAACACAGACCAUUUAAUACUUUAAAUCUUCUGUAAAUCUCGCAUUCGCUCUUGAAACAGUUAAACUCACUCUCUUAACGACCCAAAUUCAAGUUGCUCACAUAUAUUUCCUUGGUAGAAGAGAUCUUCCAUCUAACCACAUAAGGAUCACACAACUUCAGAACACUCCGUAGGAGAUGAUCCACCUGCUUCGCCUCAAACUAACAUUUCUUUAUACCAGCCACUAUCAUUCAACAUUACGCAGUCACUUAAUCUUCCUGAGUCUGAACUCAUACUGCGACAUGAAAUUUACUUCACUCCCAACUAGAAAACAUGAAAAGAUUCUUCACACACUCAUAACUCGGGGCUACACCUCAAAUCAAGAUGGAAAUCAAGCACCAAAUAGUUCUUGUUGCCCCAAAGCAGACCCUUCUCGCCUCAUUCGAUUCAUAUGAACACAUCUCGCAGUCACAUCACCCUUAUCAUGUAGUUAUCCAGUCAUUGCUCCCCUUAAUAGGGACACAACAGAACAUAUAGAUCCAGAAACACGCGCUCAUGCAAUCAACAGCUCAAGGCUCAAGCUAUAGGUAGAAAUCCUGCCCCAAGUCUUCCAAACUGGUCCAACAUCAACACGCAGAGAUCACAUCUCGCCCCUCGAUCAGGGAAUCACAAGCCAUCGAUGCAUAUCGGAUACUGAGCGCUCAUGCGUGCAUGCGAACGCGUGGAAGGAAUUCAAAGAGUUACAUUUCAAGCUGAAUCAAGGACGCACAAUAAGAAUUAGAGAAUGUGUAGGUUUUUUCUAAAGGUUCUGCAGNNNNNNNNNNNNNNNNNNNNNNNNNNNNNNNNNNNNNNNNNNNNNNNNNNNNNNNNNNNNNNNNNNNNNNNNNNNNNNNNNNNNNNNNNNNNNNNNNNNNNNNNNNNNNNNNNNNNNNNNNNNNNNNNNNNNNNNNNNNNNNNNNNNNNNNNNNNNNNNNNNNNNNNNNNNNNNNCCGAACUCCGGUCGUGAUGGCGCCUCUCCUGAAGACAAGGCCAGUUGACACAUUUCCAAUUCAUUUUAAGCAAUUUAAAGUAGUACAGAUUAAGUCAUUAAACAUAAUAAAAUCCCAAAAUAUGGUGAAUAAUACAAUUUGCGGAAACAACACGGCCCGAUAUCGGGGUGUCACUAGUCAUGAGCAUGUAUCAAUAUACUAUAAGUCUGAAGAGUCUACAUAGUCUAAUACAGAGCUAAAACAGAGAAAUUAAUAUAAGGGAAGAAGCUCUGGGCUGCGAACGUCGUCAUCUACCUAGAGAAUCUUCGAAUAUGCCUGAGCUGGAAGGAUCAACACUCGCUAGCGAGACCUGAAGUGCCUGAAUCUGCACACGGGAUACAGGGAGUAAAGUGAGUACUCCAACUCACUGAGUAAUAAUCAUAAAUAAACACUGAGAAAUAUGAAAUCACGUAAGGCACAUUACAGGCUAUAAUGAAGCAGUAAAAGCCAGUAAAAAGAGUGAAUCAGUGAAGAUAUGUAAAGUCAUUUUAGUUCAAUUUAAACUUCAUGAAAUGCUUUUUUAACAAUUAAGCAAGUAAAUGACAGGAAACUAGGAAAGAUAAAAGCAUAAAGGAUCGCCCCUCGGGCAAUAUCAUAGAACAACACCAGCCCCUCGGGCUAUAUCUCACAUCACAAUGGGUACCCGCGCUCACUGGGGGUGUGCAGACUCCUGGAGGGGCCCCUUAUGGCCCAAGCGCAAUAUCAAGCCAUCUCGUGGCAUAAUCACAUAUGCUCUCGGCCUCAUAUCAACAAGCCACCUCAUGGAGUACAAAUUUCAGGCCCUCGGCCUCAUAAUCACAAUCAGUGUAUUCUCACAACACAUGCCCUCGGCCUUACUCAGUCAGAAUCUCAUAAGCCACUCGGGCACUAGUAAAACAUGAUGCUCAGCCCAAAGUAUCAUUUAAAAUAUCAUUUAAUGUAUUAAAACAGAGUAGACAUGGCUGAGUUAUGAAAAUAGUAGAAUAUAGCAUGACUGAGUACAAGUAUAAAGUCAAAAUAGUGAGGAAAUAUCAGUAAAAUCCCCUAAGGGUCCAAAUAGUUGGCACGAGGCCCAAAUAUGGUAUUCAGCCCAAAAUAUGAUAAUAGCAAAUAGUUUUCAAUCAAAUAUGCGGUAAAAUAGUCAUACGGGAUGGACUGUGUCACAAUCCCCAAUGGUGCACGACCCCACGUUCGUCAUUUAGCAUGUGCGUCACCUCAAUAUAGCACAAGGAUGUGCAAUUCGGCGGUUCAUAUCCUCAGUACAAUAUUUACAAUCAUUACUCACCUCGAUCUGGUCCAAACUCUAGCCCACGAUGCCUUUGCUCCUCGAAUCGGUCUCAACUUGCGUCGAAUCUAUCCAAAUCAGAAUCACGACGUCAAAAUAUGCUAAUUGAACGAAUCCCAUGCGAAAAUAAUCAAUUUACAACAUCAAUUCCGAAAUUGCUCAAACCUGGCCCCCGGACUCAUGCCUCAGAACCCGACAAAAAUUACAUCAAUAGAAUCUUCAUCCUUCCACGAGUCUAUACAUAUCAAAAAUAUCAAAAUCGGACCUCAAAUGGCCCCUCAAAUCCCCACUCGAAAGUCUCUUAAUCUCAAGCCAUAAUUACCCAUUUUGCACUGAUUUUUCCCAAAAUUUCAUCACUAAUUAGGCCUUUAAUUAUAUAUAAAUGAGUUAUGAAGUCAAAAUCUUACCUCCACGAGAUUAUCCUUUGAUUUCCUCUUCAAUUAGCUCUCCAAAGCUUUCUCCCAAAUGAAAUAUGGUGAAAACUCACUCAAAAUCGCACUUGCGCUACCGCAAGUGCGCCUACUUCACCGCUUCUGCGGUUCCUGAAGAACUUCAUCUUGGCCACAUCUGCGGCUGUCUUCCGCUUCUGCGAGCAACGCACCUACGGCCUCCCAACCGCAGGUGCGGUUCUGACAGCAACUAAAAUGCCUCAGCUAUCCCAACUCAACUUCAAACCUUCCGCUAACCAUCCAAAAUCACCCCGAGUUCCCAGGGACCUCAACCAAAAGCACAAACCAGUCAUAUACCACUACCCAAACUUAUACCAAUCUUCGAAACACCUCAAACAACAUUGACUCCGUCAAAUCACAUUAAAUUCAAGCCUAAGGUUCCAAAAUCUUCCGAAUUCUGCUUUUGAUUAAAAAGUCUACCAAACCACGUUCGAAUGACCUGAAAUUUUGCGCACACAUCCCAAAUGACACAAUAGACCUACUGCAACUUCCAGAAUUCUAUUCCGACCACUAUGUCAAAAUCUUAUCUAUCAACCGGAAAACGCCAAAAUAUCAAUUUCGCCAAUUCAAGCUUAAACCUUCCACAGACCUCCAAAACACAUAUUCCGAUCACGCUCCUAAGUCCCAAAUCACCUAACGGAGCUAACAAAAUCGUAAAAAGUCUGAUCCGAGAUCAUAUACCAACAAGUCAAAUCUUGGUCAAACCUUUCAAAUUUUAAACUUCUAACUGAGGAUUGUUCUUCCAAAUUCAUCCUGAUUACCCUGAAAAACCAAAACCGACGAUUCACAUAAGUCAUAAUACAUCACACGGGGCUAGUCGUGCCCGAGAACUGGCGAGCGAAGUGCAAAAGCUCAAAACGACUGGUCAGGUCGUUACAUAAACAAUAUCUUUAAUAAAAUAAAUCUAAAGUACCUAUAAAUUAUAUAGCAAAUGACACCACGUACGAUCCAGUUUGGUGUGGUGAUCUUUGCCACUGAAUAUCAAAUUUGUUGAAUGCAUCUCCAAAAAGUCUUGUGAUUUUUCUCAAACUGUGAGAACUUUAGCAAAUGGGGGAUCAUGUGUGCAUAUAUUUCAAUGUCAUUCAUUCCUGCCUCAUAUGGCUCACUAUAUAUGGAAUCGUACACAUCAAUCUUUUUCUCAUUCAAGUCCAAUACCCCCAAAAGAAAAUUUGUCACAACAUCAUCAACUUCUGAAAGAAGCCGACAUGGAAAAAAGAUUUUGUCAACCUCAGUCCAAGCAAUUCCACAUCUACGACUGUCAUCCCACACAUAUGGUGUCAGAAACAAUUGAUUAUCACCACACCAAAACUCAUUUGUAGCAUCUUCAUUAAAAUCCUUAUAUACAAGCACCAUAAAGUUAUCAAAAAGUAUAUCUGUAGUUGUGCAAUGAAAAAGAUGGGCUCUAGGGUGGUAGCAUUCCUUCUUUCUCAAAUAAUACAGGGCAAUGUCAAUAUGCUUCAUAAAAAGAAAAAAAAUAAAAGAAAUCCAUCAGUCAUAAAUAUUAAAAAAUAAUAAUGUAUGAAUAAAGAAAAUAAAUGCCUUGCGAAUUAUCAAACUUUAUCAUCAAGUACAAAUCUACUAUCUGAAAGCUCAAGGAAGAACAUUUUGCUACUGAUUUUUUGAUGGUACAAUUUAUAUGGAUUCUUUCUCACACCAUUAUUGUCAACAUAUAUGUCAGUUUCUCCCCUAAAAAUUUUGAAAAUAUCAAAGUUAGAAGUUAGUUUUUAUUUCCUAAUUAAGGGCAUCUAGUCCUGAACUUAGGCUAAGACGGUUAAAAGUUAAGGACAAUAGGUCCUUAACUUCAAGUUUCAAGUUCAAAACUUAAGGACACAUGUGACGACCCGGCCGGUCGUCUUAAGAAUUAAUGCUUUUAUCCCCUAUUAAUUGCUUUCCUGAGUUUAUUUCUGCUAUUUUGAUUUGUCGGGAUGUUUGAUUUUGAGUUUCGGGGAGUUUUGGGAAGCUUAGUCCCAGAAUGAGAGUUUAAGUGUUGGGAAGUUGAUCAUAGUCGGAACAGUGUGAAAACAUCCUUGAAAUGGAAAUCUAACGGUUCUGUUAGCUCCGUUGGGUGAUUUCGGGCUUAGGGGCGUGAUCGGAUUGUGUUUUGGAGGUCCGUAGCUAAUUUAGGCUUGAAAUGGCGAGAGUCGAAUUUUUGAAGUUUCCGGUCCGAUAGUGAGAUUUUGAUCUAAGGGUCGGAAUGGAAUUCCGAAAAUUAGAGUAGCUCCGUAGUAUUGAAUGUGAUAUGCUUGCAAAAUUUCAGGUCAUUCGGACGAGAUUUGAUAGACUUUUUGAUCAAAAACAUAAGUUAAGAAUUCUUGUAGUUCUUAGGCUUGAAUCCUAUAUUAAAUUAGUGAUUUGAUGUUGUUGUGAGCGUUCCGAAGUUUUGAACAAGUUUGAACGACGUCAUGGGAUGUGUUUGUACAAUUGGUUUGAAGUCCUAGGACUCGGGUGAGUUUCAGAAUGUUUUAGGCCGAAAAUCAUAGCUGUUGCAGGUCCAGAAGAGUUGCAGGCCUCGGAACCCACCAGUGCGGUCCGCACAAAGUCCAGUGCGUCCGCGGUGGGGGCUGUGUGGCCGCACAAAAUGCAGUGCAGUCCGCGGUGAGGAAACUUUCACUGGUCUUAUUUCGGAAACUCAUAUCUUUUGAUCUACAAGGAAUUUUGGGAUGAUUCAAAAACGAAAGUUGUAGCCCUUCAUGUCUAGUUUCUAGAAAGGUAAAGAAUCACAAUUUGGAUAUCUGUAUAGAAAGUUAUGGCCAAAAUACUAAAGCCUGUCACUGCAGUCAAAACCUGUGCGGACAACAGUCGUUUUUGUGCGGACCGCACUGGUUUUGCGCGGACAACACUCAUUUUUGUGCAGUUCGCAGUGGUGGAAAUCCGGGGGGUGCCCUAUAAAUACGAGGUUUUUUGUUUUAUUUCAUAUUUUGACCUAGAGAGCUCGGAUUUUGGCAAUUUUUCGAAGGUUUUUCAAGAAAUUCAUCGGGGUAAGUGAUUCUAACUCAGGUUUGGCUAGAGUACAUGAAUCCAUCAUUGAACUGCUGUAAGAUCGCGUGAUUUGGGAUGGAAUUUGGGAAGAAAACUUGUGAAAUCUUUCAAAAAUAUUAAAUAAUGAUUUGAAGGACCAAAUGGUAUCGGAAUUGGAUAAUUUUGGUAUGGUUAGACUCAUGAGGGUAUGGGGAUUCUGAAAAUGUAAAUUUUACCCGAUUCCGAGACGUGGGACCGAGGGGCGUUUUGAUCAUUUUACACAAUUUCGCGUAUUAGCUUAGAAUUUAAUUGUAGAAUCAGUUACUUGAAGUGUUAUUUAUAUUAUUCAAUUGGAUUGAAUAGAUUUGGGCCAUUUGGAGUCGAGUACUCGUGGCAAAUACGUGGUGUUGGGUUGAUUUUGAGUCGGUUCGAGGUAAGUGGGGGACCUUGUGUUGGGUUGAGCCACACAAGUCUAACCUUGUGUGGGGGACCUUCCCCUUAGGAUUGAUAUAUUUGGUAAUUGAAAUGCCUUGUACGUGAGGUGACGAGUGCGUACUUGUGCUAAUUGUUGGAAAUCUGGUUUUCUUUAAGUACUUACUAGUAUGUUUCCUUUCCUGUUUCUAUUACUUACACUAUUAAGCCUAUUGUUAGCUUAGGAAAGCAUGUCUAAGUGACUUAAUUGCUUCAUUUGGUUUAACCUGCCUUACUUGAAUUAUGUGCAGCAUGCUAGGCUAGAAUCACUUAUUGCCUUAAUAUAAAUUUUGCUAUUUCUGUUUAUCUUCUUGCUGCUGCUGUGUAUUUAUUUUGGGACUACAGAUGUGGGAUUCUGGUAGCUCCCCCUUGUCUGUUUACUUUGGGACUACGGGUUAGAUUCCCGGUAGAUCCCCCUGCACAGUUAUAUGGAACUACGGGAAUGCACCCGGUAGAUUCUCCUAGUACUGUGUAUUUACAUUUGGGACUACGAAUCGGGGUUCCGAUAGAUCCCCGUGCAUUGUUAGUUGGACUACGGGACGGUAUCUCGGGAGAUCCACUGGACAGUUGUAAUUGGGACUACAGGAUGGUAUCCUGGGAGGUGCCCCGGUUGUUAUCUCUGUGUUGAGCUGUAUUUCUUUCUGUGGCUUGUUUUGUCUUUAUCUAGUUGUUGUUGUUCUGUCAAUUCUAUGUCAUUUCUUAUUGUUGCACUUAUUUAUAUUGUUUUAUUCCACAUUGUUAACCAUUAUAUUGUAUUUAAACUCAGUAGGGCCCUGACCUUCCUCGCCACUACCCAACCGAGGUUAGGUUUGGCACUUACUGGUGUACUAAUGCCUCUUCUGCGCAUGUUUUUCAUAUGCAGAUCCAGGUACUUCUACUCAGGCCUACCAUCCUUGAGGGAGGCAACUACUUAGAGACUUCGAGGUACAUCUGUCGUGUCUGCAGACCGAGGAGUCCCUUUCUAUUCCUACCUUUUAGUAUUUAGCCCUUCUGUACUUUCUAUUCUUAUUAGACAAAUUCCGGAGUUAGAGCUAUGUAGUAUUUUUUUUCUUAGCUUGUGAUUCGUGGGUUUCCGGGUCUUGGAUUUAUGUUUGAUAUUGAGAGUUAAACAUGGUGUAUGCCGAGCGG
rnacentral:lncRNA from 1 species